GGUUAGGACAAUUAACGUGGCAGGUUAGGAGAAUGAGGGUAGGGUUUAGGACAAUUAACGUGGCAGGUUAGGAGAAUGAGGGUAGGGUUAGGACAAUUAACGUGGCAUGGUUAGGAGAAUGAGGGUAGGGUUAGGACAAUUAACGUGGCAGGUUUAGGAGAAUGAGGGUAGGGUUAGGACAAUUAACGUGGCAGGUUAGGAGAAUGAGGGUAGGGUAGG